GAGCUACCGCUAUUGGAGUUCGAUUAAGCCAUGCGAGUCGAGAGUCUUAGGGACUCGGCGUACCGCUCAGUAACACGUGGGUAACCUGCCCUAUGCUGGGGAAUAACCUCGGGAAACUGAGAAUAAUGCCCCAUAGUCCACCAUGCCUGGAACGGUUGGUGGAUGAAAGCUCCGGCGGCAUAGGAUGGGCCUGCGGCGUAUCAGGUCGUAGGGGGUGUAACGUACCCUCUAGCCAUCGACGCGUACGGGUGUUGGGAGACAUAGCCCGGAGAUGGAUUCUGAGACACGAAUCCAGACCCUACGGGGUGCAGCAGGCGCGAAAACUUGGCAAUGCGAGAAAUCGUGACCAGGGAACUCCAAGUGGCUGGGGUAAGACCCAGUCUUUUCUUGACUCUUCAAAGGUCUUGGAAUAAGGGGUGGGUAAGGACGGUGCCAGCCGCCGCGGUAAUACCGGCGCCUCAAGUGGUAGUCGAUUUUAUUGGGCCUAAAACGUCCGUCGCCUGUUUGGUACAUUCGUGGGUAAAUCAACCAGCUCAACUGGUUGAAUUCUGCGAGCACGGCCAGACUUGGGACCGGGAGAGGUGUGGGGUACGCCUCAGGGGUAGGGGUAAAAUCCUGGUCAUCCUGAGCGGACCACCUGUUGCGAAAGCUCCACACUUAGAACGGAAUCCC
rnacentral:rRNA from 1 species